AACGUAGGAGGCAAGCGUUAUCCGGAUUUACUGGGCGUAAAGCGCGUGUAGGCGGCACGAUAAGUUGGAUGUGAAAGCUCCCGGCUAAACUGGGAGAGGACGUUCAAUACUGUCGAGCUUGAGGAUGGGAGAGGGAGGUGGAAUUCCGGGUGUAGUGGUGAAAUGCGUAGAUAUCCGGAGGAACACCAGUGGCGAAGGCGGCCUCCUGGCCCAUUUCUGACGCUCAGACGCGAAAGCUAGGGUAGCAAACGGGAUUAGAAACCCGAGUAGUCC
rnacentral:rRNA from 1 species